CCUACGGGUGGCAGCAGUGGGGAAUAUUGGGCAAUGGGCGCAAGCCUGACCCAGCAACGCCGCGUGAAGGAAGAAGGCUUUCGGGUUGUAAACUUCUUUUCGCAGGGACGAAGAAGGUGACGGUACCUGAGGAAUAAGCCACGGCUAACUACGUGCCAGCAGCCGCUGUAAUACGUAGGUGGCAAGCUUUAUGCGGAUGUACUGGGUGUAAGGGGCGUGUAGGCGGUACUGCAAGUCAGAUGUGAAAACCACGGGCACAACCUGGGGCCUGCAUUUGAAACUGUAGUUCUUGAGUACUGGAGGGGCAGGCGGAAUGCCUAGUGUAGCGGUGAAAUGCGUAGAUAUUAGGAGGAACACCAGUGGCGAAGGCGGUCUGCUGGACAGCAACUGACGCUGAGGCGCGAAAGCGUGGGGAGCAAACAGGAUUAGAUACCCCUGUAGUC
rnacentral:rRNA from 1 species